rnacentral:rRNA from 1 species
UUGGAAUCCGAACUGAAGUGGCGAAACUGGUUGAGUAAACAACGUGGGUAAACCUGCCCAAGAAAGAAAGGGGAAUAAACAACCUGGAAAACAGAAUGCUAAUAACCGUAAUAACAAACAAGAAACCACAUGGUUCUUGUUUGAAAAGCUGGCCUUUGUGCUAGUGCUAGUGCUUCUGGAUGGACCCGCGGCGUAUUAGCUAGUUGGUGAGAUAUAAGCUCACCAAGGCAAUGAUACGUAGCAGACCUGAGAGGGUAAUCUGCCACAAUUGGACUGAGACACGGCCCAUACUCCAUACGGGAGGCAGCAGUAAGGGAAUCUUCCACAAUGGACGAAAGUCUGAUGGAGCAGCGCCGCGUGAGUGAGAGAAGGGUUUCGGCUCGUAAAACUCUGUUGUUAGAGAAGAACAGCCGUGAGAGCAACUGCUCACGGUAUGACGGUAUCUAACCAAGAAAGUAAGGCCUAACUACGUGCCAGCAUGCCGCGGGUAAUACGUAGGUGGCAAACGUUGUCCGGAUUUAUUGGGCGUAAAGGGAGCGCAGGCGGUUUUAUUAAGUCUGAUGUGAAAGCCUUGGGCUUAACCGGAGAAGUGCAUCGGAAACUCAUAAACUUGAGUGCAGAAAAGGAUAGUGGAACUUCAUGUGUAGCG